CGGAGGCUCCGCGCGUGAACUCCACAACGUUGGGCGGCCGCCUCGUGCCGGGCUCGUGCCGCCGGGUUCGGGGAACGCUACUCACGUGCUUCAGCCACAGCCCCAGCUAGAAAUGAGCUAAAGCAUCAAAGGCCAGAUCACAGCCCAUGUUCCCCAAAAUUCAGUGUCUAAACCAGAAGAGUUUGGAAACGGCUGAUCUCUAGAGGCAGUGAAGAGCCAUUGUAUCCAGAAAUACAGCUGGACGCGGAGUUCUGUUCGUACCAAUCCAUGGGGACACGGGCUGACUUCUCGCAGCGGCGGUGG